GUGAAUCUGUCUCACCCACUAGACAGGAGCUCCAUGAGUAGGGGUGUCAGGGCAUCAGCAUCUCCCUGUCAACACUGCCUGCUUGGCACAAGACCCCACCAGUGCUGUGUGCUUCAAUCCCUUCCUAAGCUCUGUGGGCUUGUAAGGGAGACAGUAGGGAGGCCCUUCUACUUUAAAGGCUUUGGGAGGCCGACAGACUUACAGUGAGGCCAUCCUCAGGAGACAGCGGGAGCCCGGACAUUUCACAACUGCCAGCCACCCCUGGGGAUAAGACCUCACCGAUGGCCGGGAUGCUGAAGACAUCAUCUGGCGUAUAAAAAAUGUAACACUAUGCUGGUGUAAUGCAUCUUACAGUGAAAACAUCAAUGUGUGUGUUUUCCAAGACUCAAUGGCUUUGCCAUGAAUUGCGGAGAGAGGAAUGGAUGAGAUGGUGCCCUGCGGGGCCUCCUGGUCCC